CCUACGGGAGGCAGCAGUGGGGAAUUUUGCGCAAUGGGGGAAACCCUGACGCAGCAACGCCGCGUGCGGGACGACGGCCUUCGGGUUGUAAACCGCUUUCAGCAGGGAAGAAAUUCGACGGUACCUGCAGAAGAAGCUCCGGCUAACUACGUGCCAGCAGCCGCGGUAAUACGUAGGGAGCGAGCGUUAUCCGGAUUCAUUGGGCGUAAAGAGCGCGUAGGCGGCCUCUCAAGCGGGAUCUCUAAUCCGAGGGCUCAACCCCCGGCCGGAUCCCGAACUGGGAGGCUCGAGUUCGGUAGAGGCAGGCGGAAUUCCCGGUGUAGCGGUGGAAUGCGCAGAUAUCGGGAAGAACACCGAUGGCGAAGGCAGCCUGCUGGGCCGCAACUGACGCUGAGGCGCGAAAGCUAGGGGAGCGAACAGGAUUAGAUACCCUGGUAGUCC
rnacentral:rRNA from 1 species